rnacentral:sRNA from 1 species
GUCAGCACCCCGCUCUAAAGAGACGGGGCUUCAUGCCUCUAACUUUGGAUAGUUGACCCGCCUAAGUCUUAAUUGACUACGUUAUCGGCAAGUGUUAAAGACCCACCAAUGGAUGCGAAGCUAGUCCGUUGCUCUGGA